UGUUCACAUCUUAGUUGUCCUCUGUGGCUAUGAUGUUCACAUCAGAGUUUGUUCUCUGUCUCUGAUGUGAACAUCAUAGCCACAGAGAACAAACUCUGAUGUGAACAU
rnacentral:pre_miRNA from 1 species